CAAAAAUUAGGUUUUUAACUCCACAAAAAUUAGGUUUUUAACUCCACAAAAAUAAGGUUUUAACUCCAAAAAAAUUAGUUUUACACUUUGUACUUUGAAUAAAUGCUUCUGAAUUUUGCUAUAAAAACACAGAGUUGCUCAUCAGACUUUUACUCCCAAAAUCUCAUUUUUUAGUGAUUUUUUUUUCCUCUUUAUUCCCCAGGGAAUGCAGGAUCCAGAUGUGUCACAGGGACUUGUGUAACUCCUAUAAAAAUAACCCACAAAAAAAAAAAAAAACACAUUUAAUCCCCAGUUUUGUUGUUGUUUUUUUUUUUUUUUUUCUUUUUUUUUUCUUUUGGCUGUGUGGGGAGAGAUCCAAAAUAAAGGGAUUUAACAAAAAUAUCCUGUGGUUUUUACUGGGUUAUUUAAUAAGUGAGUUACAAAAUAAUCUGGUUUUUAAUAGCCUGGCACUGCAAAUCCAAAGCAAAACUUUAAAUUCAGAUUAAAUUUUAAAAUAAUUUUUGGUUUUCUGUGAAUUAUUUCUCAAAAUAACUCCCUGAGAUCAGAAUCCAGCCCGAGUUCAAAAUAAAAUCCAACUUUGAGGCCAGCAAAAGGGAAUAAAAAGAAUAAAUAAUAAUAAAAAAAUAAAUUAAAUAAAUA